GUGUUUUGGAGCUAUUGGUGCUCA
rnacentral:siRNA from 1 species